rnacentral:rRNA from 1 species
AGAGUUUGAUCCUGGCUCAGAGUGAACGCUGGCGGUGCGCCUAAAACAUGCAAGUCGAGUGGGUUUAGACCCACGGCAAACGGCUGAGGAACACAUGGAUACCUGCCCCGAACUCAGGGAUAGCCCGCCGAAAGGCGGAGUAAUACCGGAUGGUCCCGCAAGGGUAAAGAUUUAUCGGUUCGGGAGGGGUCUGUGUCCUAUCAGGUAGUUGGUAAGGUAAUGGCUUACCAAGCCUAUGACGGGUAACUGGUCUGAGAGGACGGCCAGUCAGAAUGGAACUGAGACACGGUCCAUACUCCUACGGGAGGCAGCAGUUAGGAAUCUUCCGCAAUGGGCGAAAGCCUGACGGAGCGACACCGCGUGAAGGAUGAAGCCCUUUCUGGGUGUAAACUUCUGUUGUGAGGGAAGAAAUUAUUGACGGUACCUCACGAGAAAGCACCGGCUAAUUCUGUGCCAGCAGCCGCGGUAAUCU